rnacentral:misc_RNA from 1 species
GAUGAAGAACGUAGCGAAAUGCGAUACGUAAUGUGAAUUGCAGAAUUCAGUGAAUCAUCGAAUCUUUGAACGCAUAUUGCGCUCUUUGGUAUUCCGAAGAGCAUGCUUGUUUGAGUAUCAGUAAACACCUCAACCUCUUCUUGAUUUUUCAAAAGGAGGGUGGACUUGAGCUAUCCCAACAACCUUUACCGGUCGGCGGGCGGCUUGAAAUGCAGGUGCAGCUGGACUUUUAUCUGAGCUAAAAGCAUAUCUAUUUAGUCCUCGUCAAACAGGAUUAUUACUUUUGCUGCAGCUAACAUAAAGGAUAAUUGUCCUCUUUGCUGACUGAUGCAGGAUUUUACGACGCUUUAUGUGUUGUUCAACUCGAUCUCAAAUCAAGUAAGACUACCCGCUGAACUUAAGCAUAUCAAUAAGCGGAGGA